UCCAUCCUGUGACUCAGCAUGCAGUCUGAGAAGGAAGUACAGAGGCUCCAAGUGGGCUUUUGCAUUUGGCCCCAUGAAAGCCUCAGCCCAUCAGAAGGCUUGUAGCCAGAGGAGAAGCAGAGAAGGGCUUUUUAUAAAGGUAAACUUUUUGCCUAGGACUAAGAGGUAGUAUUGUAGUAACAAGGAUUUGAAGAACAGAAAUCUGUGGAAUUUAAAAUCUAAUCUCCAAAUAAUUAAAGCGAACCAUAAAAUAUAUGUUCAAUGUACUUGGUUGCUGAAGUAAAAAUAAGAUAAUAUUAAGAUUGAGGCAAAUCAAGAUACUGGAUAAAGCAGGCCCACAGGUGAACAAACUUAGGGAUACUGAAGGGCCCUGGUCAAGAGCCAAAGAUAGAAUAAGGGGGACCCUGACAUAUCAAGUGUCAAAGACUAUGAUGAAUGAAAGAAACAGUGAGGUUCAAGAGAGGGCAGAAUGAGUAGAAAUGAUGACAUGAAAAUCCUGUAUCACCAAAUGGCGGACUUUAGCACAGGUGGAUUUGGGAGAACAUGGACGUGGAAUCACUUGGAAGACACAUGAAGAGCAAGAAAAAGACUGUUGAUACCACCUCCUACUGUUAUCAAGAGCACUUCACGUGAAAACAAGCAUCCGUUAUUUAAAGGCUGGGGAAGAACCAAGUUUCAGAUUAUAAAGAAGGUAAAGGAAGCAACGAGAGUGAAGCAAUAGGAAGGGGACAUGGUGAGCACGGCAUCUACAGACUUAAUAAAUCAUGGUUUAUAAAUGAUUUUGAUUCCACAAGGAACACCGCCUCUGGGAACAUAACUUUUCAAAAUGGCUGCUUUGUUUCAUGCCUUAGAUGAGAAAGACUUGAACAUGUAUAAAUGAAGCAAGGCAUGAGUGGACAGAGAGAAGUUAAAUAUGCAGAAGACAGUUAAGUGUUUUUUUACCUGACAAAGAGGAAGACGGAGG
rnacentral:lncRNA from 10 species